AACGCACAUUGCGCCCCCCGGCUUCCCGGGGGGCAUGCCUGUCCGAGCGUCAUUGCCAUCCCCUCAAGCUCUGCUUGGCUUGUUGGGCCGGCGUCCGCCCGGGGCUUCGCCUCGGGGGGAUGGGCCCGAAAGGCAGUGGCGGCUCCCGGAGGGUGGUCCUUUGGGUGGUGAUACAUGGGUGUCUUCUUCCACCGCUCUGCUGGCCACGCUCCGGGGGCCUGUCGAACGAACGGUCUUCCCCUUUAGGUUGACCUCGGAUCAGGUAGGGAUACCCGCUGAACUUAA
rnacentral:misc_RNA from 1 species